UACGUAGGGGGCAAGCGUUGUCCGGAAUCAUUGGGCGUAAAGAGCGUGUAGGCGGCCCGAUAAGUCCGCUGUGAAAGUCCAGGGCUCAACCUCGAGACGCCGAUGGAAACCAAUUGGCUAGAGUCCGGAAGAGGAGAGUGGAAUUCCCGGUGUAGCGGUGAAAUGCGCAGAUAUCAGGAAGAACACCCGUGGCGAAGGCGGCUCUCUGGGACGGUACUGACGCUGAGACGCGAAAGCGUGGGGAGCGAACAGG
rnacentral:rRNA from 1 species